rnacentral:lncRNA from 1 species
GGCAUGUUUAUCCGCUCCAAAAGACUUCGGCAAAGGUGCUGCUUCAAAUCUUGCAUUUUUGAAGUUUGUGUUUCUCUUUAGACAAGCGCCUCGGUAUUGCUGGAAUUUGGCGCCGGGUUUUGGCUUCAAUGUGUGAAGAUAUUCUUAAGAUGAUGUGUUUUUUUUUUAUAUUACUUGUUGGAUUCUUGCCUUGUACGGGUCAAUCUAGUUGUUUCCACGUGUGUCUGUACUUGUGGUGCUCGGUUAGUUUUGUAAAACGCGGUUACUCUCUCUGAAAGAGAAAAACCACCUCCUCUGCAGUACAAGAAUGGACUGCACGCAGCCGGGCUUGGAGAGACGAGCUUGGAACUACC